UACGUAGGGGGCAAGCGUUGUCCGGAAUCAUUGGGCGUAAAGCGCGCGUAGGCGGCCCGGUAAGUCCGUUGUGAAAGUCAAAGGCUCAACCUUUGAACGCCGAUGGAUACUGCCGGGCUAGAGUCCGGAAGAGGCGAGUGGAAUUCCCGGUGUAGCGGUGGAAUGCGUAGAGAUCGGGAAGAACAUCAGUGGCGAAGGCGGCCUGCUGGGCUGUUGCUGACGCUGAGGCGCGACAGCGUGGGGAGCAAACAGG
rnacentral:rRNA from 1 species